rnacentral:lncRNA from 1 species
UACCCUGGCCAACUUCCUACUUGCAGGAGGUGGUCCAAGCAAAAUAAGUGACCUUGGCCGACGCAGUCUUUUCUUUUCAUCUUCUCCUGGUAUGGCCCAAAGAGGAGGAGUAAUCCAAGAUAUCUGCCAUUUGACAUUGUACCCGGGCAGCCCAGCUGCCAGGAAGCCCAGCGGAAUCUGCAUUAUGUGAAGAUUUCACACCCAGAGGGCAGAGCCUGUGCUGCAUCUACCCCUUGGCAUCCCAGGGACCUUCCACCAGAGACCCUGGCCCCAAACCGCAGGAGAACACUUGCGCAUUGACAUUCAGCAGCGAUGGCCUAGCUGAGCCGGAUGGAAAAACAACAACAACAAAAAACAGCAACAGAAAAACUAACCACUUUUGCUUGAAGAACCCAUGUAUAGAGCGCUUCUAAGCUCAGAGACUCUCUAUACAAUUACAGUCACGACAGUUCUUGUCCACCUUGAUUAGGAAGCUGACCAUAAGGGAAAUUAGAGUAAUUUAGCAAUUUGAAUAUACAUUUUUUUUCUCACCAGUGGUCUCCCCAUGCCAGGAU